rnacentral:rRNA from 1 species
CCUGAGUACGACGGAGCACGUGAAAUUCCGUCGGAAUCUGGGAGGACCAUCUCCUAAGGCUAAAUACUCUCUAGUGACCGAUAGUGAACCAGUACCGUGAGGGAAAGGUGAAAAGUACCCCGGAAGGGGAGUGAAAGAGAACUUGAAACCGUGUGCUUACAAGUAGUCAGAGCCCGUUAAUGGGUGAUGGCGUGCCUUUUGUAGAAUGAACCGGCGAGUUACGAUCUGAUGCAAGGUUAAGCAGAAAAUGUGGAGCCGUAGCGAAAGCGAGUCUGAAUAGGGCGAAUGAGUAUUUGGUCGUAGACCCGAAACCAGGUGAUCUACCCUUGGUCAGGUUGAAGUUCAGGUAACACUGAAUGGAGGACCGAACCGACUUACGUUGAA